rnacentral:rRNA from 1 species
GACGAACGCUGGCGGCGUGCUUAACACAUGCAAGUCGAACGGAAAGGCCCUGCUUGCGGGGUACUCGAGUGGCGAACGGGUGAGUAACACGUGGGUGAUCUGCCCUGCACUUCGGGAUAAGCUUGGGAAACUGGGUCUAAUACCGGAUAGGAACCAUCUUUAGUGUGGUGGUUGGAAAGUUUUUUCGGUGUAGGAUGAGCUCGCGGCCUAUCAGCUUGUUGGUGGGGUAAUGGCCUACCAAGGCGGCGACGGGUAGCCGGCCUGAGAGGGUGUACGGCCACAUUGGGACUGAGAUACGGCCCAGACUCCUACGGGAGGCAGCAAUGGGGAAUAUUGCACAAUGGGCGCAAGCCUGAUGCAGCGACGCCGCGUGGGGGAUGAAGGCCUUCGGGUUGUAAACUCCUUUCGCUAGGGACGAAGCUUUGUUGUGACGGUACCUAGAUAAGAAGCACCGGCUAACUACGUG